rnacentral:lncRNA from 1 species
GCAGCUUGGACACUCACUCUCACUGUGAUCCUCUACUUUUCAGUACGUUCCAGCCCAUGCUCCGCCCCCAGCUGCCACCCAGCCUCUUGGUCACUGAGGCCCCAGGACUGGGAGCCCUCCACAAACCAGAAAGCCCCAUUCUGCAGACUUUAUGGGCAGAGGACAUUAGCAUCCCUGGGGUCAUGUGGCUGAGGACAAUUCCUCUCCAGGGGACUCCCACUCCAAGAGACAAAUUUUGAGGGAGGUAACAAUCCCCGGAGCCAGUACAACCUCACUGAACAAACGGCUGCCUUGUCGGUUAGCCCAGGCCUGGAGUUGGCCCUGGGCAACAUUGCAUGGGGUCUCCAGUCCCUGUGUUGAAGCUUCACACCCAUCUGGCUGCUGCCACCAGCUGCCGCUCUGGGACCCACCCUCCUGCCCUGCUCUGGCCUCCAAGACAGAGCACUUGUCACCACCUGACGUAAUAUGUUUUUACUUGUUCAUCAUGUGUUUCUCAAGAAGAAUGUGAGCUCCAUGAGGGAAGAAACUUCAUUUUGUUCUCUGCUAUAUUCUUUAAAUACUGCCUGGUACAUGAGCCUGGAAUUCAUUCUUUCAACAAAUAUGUGAUCUGCACCUAUUGUGGGCUAGUCAACAGCUGUGCCUUCAUGAAGAUUACAGUAUAGCUGGAAAGAAGAAUAAUAAUCUCGUAAACAAAUGAAUGAAGUGAUCCACUUCUAGCAAACAGAAUAAAGUGGAAAUGAUGGCAUGUGACUCCCAAGACUAGGUCCAAAGCUUUGACUUUGCUGUCUGUCUUGGAUCACGCACUCUGGGGAAAGAGUUGCCAUGUCAUGAGGAUGCUCAAGCAAGCCCAAGGAGAGGGUCCCGUCGACAGAAAACAAAGCCCUGAGGCCUCUUGCCAGCAGCCGUGUGAGUGAACCAUCCUGGACACAGGUCUUCAGCUCCACCAAGCCUCCAGAUGCCUGUGGCACCAGCCGACAUCCUGACGACAGCCUCAUGGCAGCCCCUGGCCCAGAGCCACCCAGCGGUUCCAUUCUCCAAUUCCUGACCCACAGAAACUAUGAGAUAAUAAGUGUUUGUUGUUGUAAGUUGCCAAGUUGCUAUAAAUUUAAUACACAGCAACAGAUGACUAAACAGUAUCCUGGAGCACAUCACUUCACCUCACCAUGCCUCCAUUUCCUCACCUGUAAAACAGAGUUAAUAAGAACAUAUGUAUACUGCUGUUCAAAAGAUUAAAAGAAUUAGUAAUUAGGAAGCACUUAGCACAGUGCCUGGUGUAUAUUAAACUUUCAAAAAA